ensembl:misc_RNA Metazoa_SRP Metazoan signal recognition particle RNA
GCUAGGCAUGGUGGUGCAAGCCUAUAGACUCAGUUAAGAGGCUGAGGCAGAAUAGCUCGAGUCCAGGAGUUCUGGGCUAUCUGGACUGAGUGUCUGCACUAAGUUUGGCAUCAAAAUGGUGACCUCCCGGGAAUAUGGUGACCUCCCCUCCUUAGGCACCACCAGGUUGCCUAAGGAGGGGUGAAUAAGCCCAGGUCAGAAAUGAAGCAGGUCAAAACUCCUGUACUGAUCAGUAAUGGGAUUGCACUUGUGAAUAGCCACUGCACUCUAGCCUAGGCCACAUAGUAACGGUCUGACUCUA